AUGGCAAAAGGGAUUUUAAUUGAGAAGGGACCUAUUAGAGUACCGGAUCUGGUGUUUGAGAAGGACACCAUUGGUAGACACUUUUCAUAUGCUUUUUACUCCAGGAAGUUAAGUAAUGGUGAGUUUGUUGACAGAAAGUGGUUGGUUUACCACAAAGGUGCAAACAAAGUAUAUUGUUUUUGUUGCAAGUUGUUCAAAUCAAAACUGAGCAAGUCUAUGCUAGCAUCUGAUGGAUUGAAUGACUGGAAGCGUUUGAGUGCGCGUCUCAAAGAUCAUGGGAACAGUGUUGAGCAUUUAACAAACAUGAAUACAUGGAAUGAAGUUAGGUUGAGACUAAGCAAAAAUCAGACAAUUGAUGAUGAUAUGCAAAGGGAGAUUGCAAAGGAGAAGAAGCGUUGGAGACAAGUUCUCGUAAGAAUAGUUUCUACUGUGAAGUUCUUGAAAGAUACUUUGGCUUUCCAUGGAUCAAAUGAGAAAUUGUAUCAAGAUAAUAAUGGUAAUUUUUUGGGCACGGUUGAAAUGAUUGCUGAAUUUGAUCCUAUCAUCACAGAUGCCAAGUAUUUUUCAGUUAUUUUGGAUUGUACCCCGGAUGUGAGCCAUGAAGAACAAAUGACUCUCAUUGUGCGUUGUGUCAAUAUAGGUCAAGGUUAUGACAAUGAUUCCAACAUGAAAGGACAAUACCAAGGUGUUCAGAGUCGCUUCCUUAAAGAAAACCCCAAAGCAUUGUAUAUGCCAUGUGCAUGUCAUAGUUUGAAUCUCACUCUUUGUGAUAUGGCAAAAUCUUGCAAACAAGCUAUUACAUUCUUUGGUAUUAUACAACGGAUAUAUGUGUUGUUUUCACGUUCUACUAAAAGGUGGAAGAUUUUACUUGACAAUAGUCGAAUAAAGAGUGUGCAGCCUAUCAGGUACCAAAAUAUCCAUGUAAUUUCAGCUUUGAAGGAAUUGGAGGAGACUUCUACUAAUGACCCAGCAGUUGUAAGUGAUGCUCAAUCUUUGGUCAGUGCACUUGAGAAUUUUGAAACUUUAGUUGGCAUGGAAAAGAUGGUGUGCAUUGAUGCUACUACAAAACACAUUGACGGGGUCAUAUUAUAUUUUAAGAAGUAUAGAGAUGAAGGCUUUCAAGCUAGUAUUGAGAUAGCAAAAGCCAUUGCAUCUGAUAUGGACAUAGAGCCAGAAUUUCCUUCAAAACGUCGACGGAAAAGAAAGAGGCAUCAUGAUGAAAUCAAUGAUCAAGACGAAGAAAUACAGUUGUCAGCUAUGGAAUCCUUCAGAGUUAAUUACUUUCUAGUCAUUGUUGACAAUGCAAUUCUUUCAUUGACCAGUUGUUUUGAUCAGUUGAAGAAAUUUUAAAAGGUGUUUGGUUUCUUAUUCAAUUCAAAAAAUCUGAUGUCUUUGGAUGAUAGCAAACUACAGGAAUGUUGCGCUACUUUUGCAAAAGCUUUUUCUGAUGAUAAAUCAUCUGAUGUUGAUCUUCAUGAUUUUGUCUCAGAGUUAAAAGUGUUGCAGGUAAGUUUGCCAGACGGUUUGAUGUCAGCGCUUGAUAUUCUUCAGUUUGUUAUGGCUGUAGAUUGCUAUCCAAAUGUCUCUGUUGCCUAUCGGAUCCUCUUAACAGUGCCUGUGUCUGUAGCCUCAGCUGAAAGAAGUUUCUCUAAACUGAAACUACUUAAAAAUUAUUUGAGGUCAACUAUGUUGCAAGAUAGAUUGAAUGGCCUGGGUAUGUGCUGCAUUGAGAAGGAUAUCUUGGACAAUGUUGAUCUUGAUUGUGCCCUUAAUGACUUUGCAUCAAGAAAUGCCCUAAGAAACUUUUUUUGA
rnacentral:rRNA from 1 species